CGAAGGUCCCAAGCGUUAUCCGGAUUUAUUGGGUUUAAAGGGUGCGUAGGCGGGCUAUUAAGUCAGUGGUGAAAGCCCCCGGCCUAACCGGGGAACUGCCAUUGAUACUGAUGGUCUUGAGUACAUUUGAGGUGGGCGGAAUGUGUCAUGUAGCGGUGAAAUGCUUAGAUAUGACACAGAACACCGAUUGCGAAGGCAGCUCACUAAACUGUAACUGACGCUGAGGCACGAAAGCGUGGGGAGCAAACAGGAUUAGAUACCCUGGUAGUCCACGCCCUAAACGAUGAUCACUCGAUGUGUGCGAUACACUGUACGCGUCUGAGCGAAAGCAUUAAGUGAUCCACCUGGGGAGUACGGCCGCAAGGCUG
rnacentral:rRNA from 1 species